CAGGCGUGCCAGACGACCGCGCCCUCCAUCCUUGAAAAAGGGUGAAAAGGUGAGGAAAGUCCGAACACCCGUGUGUCGGCAACGGCACAAUGAGAAAAAACGUCGCUAACGGCGACCAGGCAUACCUUCGGUGGUGAGGGAUUGGAUUGGCUGCACGCAGCUAUCCCUCACUUUCGAGGCAAACCUAGGGAAAGUCUCGAGAAAACGAAAGAAUUUUCGGGGUACUGCCUACUGGAAACGGUAACGUAGUACGCAACAGAGACAGACUAUUCACCCUCGCGUAAGCAAGGUGAAGAAAAGUGAAACGUGUGCGGAAGGUGCGCUAGGUAACUAGCGUGCAACCACACUCCCUGCAUGGUGACAUGCAGUGGCGGCAAACCCGUUUUGGUGCAAGAGCAAGAUUCGGUCGCUCGCUAAAGUCUUGUAGCAAUACAAGAACAAGAGAGAUGGUCGUCCUGACUUCUCAUUGCGUCGCAAUAAGAAGUGAGACAAAAUUCGGCUUAUCGGCACCGCCUGCUGA
rnacentral:RNase_P_RNA from 1 species